ACCACACACACGCUAGACAAAUGCCUGCACCCACCCAGGCCACAUAAGCACUCCAAAACAAAUGCACAUGCAGCAAAAGGGUGCGACCACUACCAGGUCGAUGGCAGCGCACGCCGGCAGCCCAGCAUAUCUCCUCGGAGGCAAUGGUAGGCCAGCAUCUCCCUAGGCACCUCUUUCAUGUGUCAAGAUAAGGAAUCAUUGGGAUAGAUGCUACUGAAGUUCCACAAAGAUAAAUAAUCCCCUUUUUUGCGCUCUGUAUUCUUCCAAUUUGUGCUGCAAACUUGGGGGAGGUGCUGCUAGAAAUGGGCCUGAAGUACCAGUCAUUAUGUUGCUGGAAUGAGGGCUUAAAGGGUUGCUGAAUGGAGCCUAGCAGUGCACAUGUGUUGCUCUCCAAUUGAUUUUUGGAGUAAGGUAACGUGGAGUUAACAGAAAUGCUAAAAAGGCUACAAUGGAGCAUCCUUUUGAUGUUAGUUUUCCACAACUCAA